rnacentral:rRNA from 1 species
UACGGAGGAUCCAAGCGUUUAUCCGGAUUUAUUGGGUUUAAAGGGUGCGUAGGCGGAAUGAUAAGUCAGUGGUGAAAGCCUGCAGCUUAACUGCAGAACUGCCAUUGAUACUGUCAAUCUUGAGUACAUUUGAUGUGGGCGGAAUGUGUCAUGUAGCGGUGAAAUGCUUAGAUAUGACACAGAACACCGAUUGCGAAGGCAGCUCACAAAAACUGUAACUGACGCUGAGGCACGAAAGCCGUGGGGUAUCAAAACAGG